GAGACGUUAGUUAACCUAUUACAUAGCCUUGUCAAGACUAAAUCACAGGUGAAAAUCCCGUACUUCUCA
rnacentral:tRNA from 1 species